rnacentral:rRNA from 1 species
CACACCUAAAAACUUUCMCGUGAACUGUCGUUAUUUGUUGUGUGUGUGCSCSUUGGUAGCAUGCGUGUUUGCUUACGCUUCGGUGUUUGCGAGUGCGCGUGCUGGCGGUGCGCASACUGAACGAAGGUCGUGUGUUGCUGUGUGCCUGCUGCACCGCUGACUUUGCAUUGAUUUGCAUGAUGUUGGCGGAGCGGCGGGUGCUGUUGCGUGCGCGGCUGACCUAUUUUUUUCAAACCCCAUACGUAAAUGACUGAAUAUACUGUGAGAACGAAAGUUCUUGCUUUUAACUAGAUAACAACUUUCAGCAGUGGAUGUCUAGGCUCGCACAUCGAUGAAGAACGCUGCGAACUGCGAUACGUAAUGCGAAUUGCAGAAUUCAGUGAGUCAUCGAAAUUUUGAACGCAUAUUGCACUUCCGGGUUAUACCUGGAAGUAUGUCUGUAUCAGUGUCCGUAAAUCAARCUUGCGUUUCUUCYUUCCGUGUAGUCGGUGGAGGAGAGUUGCAGAUGUGAAGUGUCUCGCUGUGGUUGGUGUUUGUUGUUUGCAAUGAAUGCACAGCUUGCGAGUCCUUUUAAAUGGACACGACUUUCUCUUUUUUWGUAUGUGCGCGGUGCUGUGCGUGAACGCGGUGGUUUUCGGAUCGCUCGCGGCUGUCGGCGACUUCGGUGAAUGCAUAAUGGAGUGACCUCGAUUCGCGGUAUGUUGGCUUCGGCUGGACAUGUUGCUUAUGUGUGUCUGUCCG